rnacentral:rRNA from 1 species
GGAUCAGUAUGCUGGUCGUGCCCUCGGUACUAUGCACUGGUGUCACUGAUUCCUCCCUUCUGAAGAACCGUAAUGCCAUUCAGUUGGUGUGGCGGGGAAUCAGGAUUGUUACUUUGAAAAAAUUAGAGUGUUUAAAGCAGGCUCGCGCUUGAAUACAUUAGCAUGGAAUAAUGAAAUAGGACGUUUGAUCCUAUUUUGUUGGUUUCUAGGAUCGACGUA